GUCCUACGGGAGGCAGCAGUAGGGAAUCUUCCACAAUGGACGAAAGCCUGAUGGAGCAACGCCGCGUGAGUGAAGAAGGGCUUCGGCUCGUAAAACCCUGUUGGUAGUGAAGAAAGAGAGAGGGAGUAACUGGCCUUUUUUUGACGGUAAUUAAUUAGAAAGUCACGGCUAACUACGUGCCAGCAGCCGCGGUAAUACGUAGGUGGCAAGCGUUAUCCGGAUUUAUUGGGCGUAAAGCGAGUGCAGGCGGU
rnacentral:rRNA from 1 species